GACGAACGCUGGCGGCGUGCCUAAUACAUGCAAGUAGAACGCUGAAGGAGGAGCUUGCUUCUCUGGAUGAGUUGCGAACGGGUGAGUAACGCGUAGGUAACCUGCCUGGUAGCGGGGGAUAACUAUUGGAAACGAUAGCUAAUACCGCAUAAUAGUAGAUGUUGCAUGACAUUUGCUUAAAAGGUGCAAUUGCAUCACUACCAGAUGGACCUGCGUUGUAUUAGCUAGUUGGUGGGGUAACGGCUCACCAAGGCGACGAUACAUAGCCGACCUGGGAGGGUGAUCGGCCACACUGGGACUGAGACACGGCCCAGACUCCUACGGGAGGCAGCAGUAGGGAAUCUUCGGCAAUGGACGGAAGUCUGACCGAGCAACGCCGCGUGAGUGAAGAAGGUUUUCGGAUCGUAAAGCUCUGUUGUAAGAGAAGAACGAGUGUGAGAGUGGAAAGUUCACACUGUGACGGUAUCUUACCAGAAAGGGACGGCUAACUACGUG
rnacentral:rRNA from 1 species